rnacentral:lncRNA from 1 species
CCGAUCAUAUAAAAGAUAUUUUUUUGAAUGAAUCAUAUAAAAGAUAUUAUGUAAAGGAUUUAGUAAUUUACAAGCAAAAUAGUUUCUCAAUCAAGUGACGGCAUGAGGGAGGUAUCAAAUAGUGCUAAAUUUAAGAGCCUCAUAACAAUAACCGAACUUAGUAUAGUACCAAAAAAGUGGCCACUUUAGUCCUUUUUUUGGGUUAAAGAAGUUUGACUUCUUUCUUCGAUACCCCACUUUUUCUCUUUCACUUUUCCAUUUUAACUUUCUCAUGGCUUUUUCUGAUCUGUUUUAUUUGUCCAGUGAUGGCUGAUAAAUUACAAUGUCUGAUGAGAAAUCAUUUGAAUUUGUUGGUAUAGUGAAGAUCUAUGUUGCGCGGACUCGUUGAUGCUGGUGCGGGCGCCGGGUGCGUCUCAGAUUUGGUCAAACGAAUCCCGAGACAUUGACCCAAUAUCAAGAACAAAGUUUAUUGUCAGUGCCCAAAGGGAGAAAGACCGGCGACUGUAAUUGUUGCCAUCGGGAGAAGGGAGAAAACCCGCGACUGUAAUUGUUAUUGUCGACGGAAGGGGGAAUUCCGGCAACUCUAAUUGCCGUCAUCGGAGGAAAGGAGAAAGUCGGCGACUGAUGUCAUCAUCGGAAGGGAGAAUUCCGGCUACUGUAAUUGUUGUCGUUGGAAAUUGAUUCUUUCAUUGGGAAGAAAGAGAGAGGCGUGGUUGGAUCUAGUCAGUGAGUUUUAUUUUUUAAUAAUUAUGCAACAACAUACCCAGUAUAUUUCCACCAAGUGGGGUCUAGGGAGGGUAAGUGUACGCAGUCCAUACCACUACUUCAAAUGUGAGAUAGAGAGGUUGUUUCAGAUAGACCCCCGGCUCAAAAUAAAACAUUCUACGAUAAGGAAUAGUAAUAUUAGGAAUAGUAAAAGAACAAGAUACAAGAUAGGGUAUAGUACUAGUAGGAACAGGAAAAGAUCAAGAUACAAUAGAAAUUAGCAUAUCCAAUAAUACCAUAAGCAAGAUACUCCAAGAAACACACAAGAGAUACAAAAAGUAGCAAUAAUUUUUUUUUAAAAAAAAUAUAAAAGUAGUAAUUUAGCUUUAGUUUUCAAUUGCUAUACGAUGUUUACUAUUUUUAUGGACUAGACCUAAAAAUAAUAUAUUAACUUAGAAUUUUAUAUUAACAUAGUAAAAAAUUAUAUGUUGCCUGUUUGUUUCCCGUUUCCCAAAAAUACAAGUAUAGUCUACUCCUAAUUGAAAAAGUAACCAAAAAAAGUUACCUUAAAAGUAGGGAAACUAAGGGAUAUUUUUUAGGAGUUAGAAUAUCUUUAUAUUUAUAAUAUUAAAAAGUAACUCUAUAUUUAUAAUAUUUGAUUUUUUUAGCCGAAUCCCCGCACCCGUAUCCAUACUCGGAUUCGCACCCAAGAAUCUUAAAAUUUAAAUUUUGAUGAAUCCGAUUCUCGGAUCCGCACCCGUCUCGGAUACCCGUCCAUGCAACUUAGGUGAAGAUUAUGAUACAUGGUUCAUGCUUAUUGAACAUGACAAGUGUUUCACAAGACAUCACAAGUAGCCAGACAAUAGAUGAAAACAACCUCAGAUGGAUAUGUGAUGCACCCAAACAAGUUUCCGCUGGGUACAAGGAAUUUGUGUAGGAUAUGGGGUCGGAAAAUACAAGCGUACAACUACAGAGCAUUUCAGAAGUUUAACAACUACGGCAGAUCUGUAAGAAAUGAAGCAUGGCUGGGGGAACCAUAGAUCAUCUGUUAUCAUCCCAGAAGUUGGUAUCAGCAUAGGCUGGCUAGACAUUAACGAGAAUUCUUUGAUUUUUAGGGGAGUCCUUCAAUCCCAGAUUCAAUCUUCACGAUCAGCCUUCUAAAUCCUACAGCAAAAUAGCAGAGUUUACUAGUGGCUACGGGAGGAAAUCCGAAAGGCAAAGUUGGUACUAGUGGCAUCAAAAUCAGGAACAGAGCAGCAAAGACCAACUCUAAUCAAGUGCCUCUUAGUCCAUUUCAAUGAAGACUUCAAGUCCAAAUCAGAGGUAAUCCAGAAAUGGUUUGUUAUGAGGUGGAAGGUUAGCAGGACUCCAGAUCACUCCCAUAAACCACAAUUUGUUCCAUUCUGAACAUCCUUCGAUAAAAGAGACAGUGCGAGUUAAAGCAAGUGAUUGGAUUUGAAAUGGAAGACAAUUAACCCUGGAAUGGUGGUCGCUGGUGGGGGGGCUGGAACUCAUAGAACUAAGGAAAGAGCAUAGGUAGAUGAAGGUUACGGCAUCCCACUCCAUGCUUGGACUCUCAACAAUUUUCGAACAUAGGUGAACUCUGUGAAUGUUCCAUAGCCAUUGAUGAAGAUACAAAAAGUAGAACUCACUUCUUCUGGGCCAGAAUCUCUAUUGAUAGACGUCUUAAUUUCAAUCCUAGCAAUCUGGAAAUAGAAUUGGAUGACUGGUGUUCAGAUGGCAUCAUUGUCGCCAAUGAACAUGUGAGACACAAAUCGACUGAAAAAGGAAGGGAGAGCAGGUGAAACUGAUGGCAACAUGUGGAAAGGUGAUGCAUGAUGGUCUUUCUUCUUGAGCCAACCAAUGAUAAACCAUGUGUCAUCUAGCACUACUCACAUAGCUCCUCAUGUGAAUGUUUCAAAUUUGGAAGGGAAGGGGCCAAUCAAACCUUUGGUUAUUGAUUUGGACCAAAGCUUAGACAAAAGUAAUUAUAACACAAGCCCAAGAAAAGGAAAAGACCUGCUAAACAGAUCCAGAUCUGAAAAGCCAAAGGCCCAUGUACUGACCCACAAUCCCAUAAUAGGCUUGAGGUUCUAUCUCAAGAAACCCGCGAACUUUCAACAAUAAUAUCACUCAAACAAAUUAUUCCUUCAAUUUCAGACUUAGCUCCUUUAAACACCAAUGUCAGCUCCUCCUACCCAGAUGCUGAGGCAGGUGUCUCAACAGAAGAAUCAUGAUAAACCAACCUUCAAUGUUAGUGAUGCCUCCUCUCAUCAGAUAUUAAGGCUCUAACCUCUUUUCUCACACACUCAACAAAUUUUUUUUUUCUCUACCUUGGUACAAAGAAGGCCAAACUUCUCAACUUGUCCACAAUCUGGCUGUUACUGAACUUCAAAUUGGACAAACUUGGUGAUGGUUAAAGCAUACACAGAGUCUUCAAUUUAGUUGGUUUUGAGCAUGAAAUGCUUGACAUGGUUAACAAGGACAAAUUUGCCAUUAAAUUCGCAAGGACAACCAAAAGGGGAAACUGACCAGAACAGACUCAAAUGUGGUAGAAAUUAUGAUGGGAGACGUGGAGUGAGGUAGAAAAACAAGGGCAGGCACCAAAAAGCAUUCUUAGGAUGAAACUUAAGAUAUUAAGCUGGAGCUUGAGGGGGGUGAACGAGUGGAUCAAAAGAGAGAUUCUUAAAUCUUUGAUUUGCAAUUGGAAAGUUGACAUCACACACCAUCAAGAAACAAAACCUGAGGUAUGGACAUCCGGUUUAAUACAUCACAUUUGGGUUAACAGAUGAGUUAAUUGGGCUAAACUAGAAGAGUGUGCUACCAAAGGAGGAAUUAUAGUAACAAGGGACAGUAGACAGUGGGACUGUAUGGAUAUAUAACAAGGAAACUAUGUUAUGUCAUGUAUGCUGGAAAGUUUGAAUGAAGAUAUUUGGGAGUGCUUCAUAAGGUCUACGGCCUCGCACAAACAGGGAAACAGCCGAAUCUUGGGACGAAUUGGCUGCGCUCAGAGGUAUCUGGAAAGAAAUUGGGUUAUGGGAGGGGUUUCUAAUGUUUAUAUGUCAACGUGAAAAAUACAAUUGUAUAAGGAGAUCCAGGGCUAUGCAAGGCUUCUCAAAUAUAAUGCAUGAUCUGGGCAUCAUCAACCUGCCACUUUGGAGGGCUAUCUACACUUGGUCCAAGGGAGAAGAUUUUACCCAGGCUUCUUACAUAGACAAAUUUCUGAUCUCACCAGAUGAAAUGAACAUUUCAAAGUUGUUAAUCAACUUGUUUUUUCUAGAGUCGUCUCUGAUCAUAAACCCAUAAACCUGGGAAGUAGUGAGUUUGAUCAUAAUCCUCCUUACUUACAACUAGGGGUGUUCACGGUUUGGUUAAAAACCAAACCGAACCGCGAACUAAACCAAUUAAAAAAACCGACAUUUGGUUAGGUUUGGUUUGGUUUUAAAUUUUUAAAACCGAUACUUAUGUGGUUUGGUUUUGGUUUUACUCUAAAAUAACCGACAAAAUAACCAAAACGAACCGAUAAAAAUUAUAUUUAUAUAUGUAUACACAUACAUAUGCAUAUAUAAAUUAUUUAUAUAUUAUUCAUAAAUAAAAUAUAAAUAUUUUUUAUAUUUUAAAUUUUAAUCAUGAAUUUAACUUUAGUCAUAGCUAAGUUGCUCGGACUCUCCAAAAACGUUGCCGCACCCGUGUCGGAUCUUUCAAAAAUGCACUACUUUUGAAGGAUCCGACACACACCUGAUGACAAUUUUGAAGAGUCCGAGCAACAUAGAGUCAUAGCACUUUUAGUAUAUGUCUCCAUCUAGUUGAUGGUAUGUUAUGAGAUUCUAUAUGAUUUUUGCACUUUGAAUGGCAAAUGAUACUAAUUGUGAAAAUUAUAUUAAUUGUGAAAAUUAUCUUGUUGUCUAUGGGAUUUUAAAGGUGAGUUUUAUUAGACUAUAGUUAAUCACUUGUUUUGAACUUUCUCUUUGGUCCCUAUUGAGCAAAAAAAUUAUGUGUUUACCUUUUUGGGGGGCUUAUCAUAUCAUUCUCUUAUAUUUAGUUUCUAAAUACUUUUGUAGGAGCGUUUGUAUGGUGUUGUUCAUGGCUUUGACUAAGUAUAACACUAAAUUGACAUCUUAGUUUCAAGGUUGAGAAACAACACUCGGUUGACAUCUCAUAUGUUGGAUUGAAUUUUUUUAAGAAAAAUUUCAACUUUUAUACAACAACAACAACAACAACAACAACAAACCCAGUGUAUUCCCACUUUGUGGGGUCUGGGGGGGGUAAGAUGUACGCAGUCCAUACCUCUACCUCUGAUGAAGUAGAAAGGCUGUUUCCGAAAGACCCCCGGCUCAAGUUACGAGAUAUCAAACAAACACAUAGUACAGCACAGAAGCAGAUGACAUAACAUAGAUACUGCAGCCAUAAGGAAUAUAAAACAGAGUAAAGUAGGAAUGCAGGAAUAUAAAGCAGAGGAAAGCACACAGAUUCGUAACAAACAUAGAACACGGAACACGGAACAGAACAUUGAAUACGGAAUCAUACCAGGAAUACACCCCCACCAAUUACCUCCCUACAUUAGCGACCCGAACAGGCCCUAAUCCUCUGCCGUAAUUCGCGUAUCAUUAACUAAAAUUAUAAACCGAAAAACCGAACCAAACCGAACGGAACUAAACCGAUAAGAACCAAACCGACGGUUAUUUUUUUGUGUUGGUUUGAUUUGAUUUUAGAAAUUUAAAAACCGACUAAGUUGGUUUGGUUAUGGUUUUGACCAAUAACCGACCCAAACCGACCUAUGAACACCCCUACUUACAACAAUGACAUACCCAGUGUAAUACCACAAGUGGGGCAUAAUCCCUCUACUUCAAGUUUGAAAACAUGUGGCUACAAAUUAAGGUUUUUAGACAUGGUUAAAGGGUGGUGGCAGACUACAAUAUCACUGGCAAUCCACAGUUCAGAUUUUUUUAGGACUAGCAAUCCAGGCUUUAUCUUAAUCCAGAGACUAGAAGUUAAGACUCCUUAAGAAAAUUUAACAAGCUGAAACAGGGAUAAGUUUGGUAUGGUAACACAGAGAGGCAAAGCCUUAGAUGAACUUUCAACCUAGAACAAAUUGCUAAAAGAGAACCCAAUCCCAAGAUUUAAAAAAAAUAAGGCGGCGACAUUAAAGCUGGAAACAUCAGCAGCAGCUGGCCAAGAUUGAAGUAGUCUCAUGGAGACAGAAUACAAAAUGUCUAUGGCUUAAGGACUGCAAUUGGAACACCAAAUACUUCCAAUGAACUGCAAAGUCUCAUAGUAGGAGCAAUUGCAUUGACAAACUGAUGAUAAGGGAUGAAAUUACAGAGGAUAAAGACAAGAUAAAAUGGGGGAAGUGCAUUUGAGAAAGAGGUCCCAACAAACAUUACCUCAUGUACCUCUGACAAGGCCCCAGGACUAAAUGGAUACACCCUGGUUUUCCUCCCAAAGGCAAAGGUGAUCAGCAAAGGAAGUAACGAGGGCAUUAAACCACUUCCAUCAAAACUACAGGGUGGUUAGGUUCAGUUAUACUACCUUCAUUGCACUUAAAGGGAAAGAUACAAUUGAACUCAGACACUAAAGACCUAUUAGUGUGAUUGGUAGUUUAUAUAAGAUAGCUGCAAAGCUCCUAACAGAGAUACCGAAAAAGGUCAUUGACCUACUAGUCUUAGGAUACCAAAGUGCUCUCAUUCAAGUCAUACUAUCAUUGAUGCAGCACUGAUUGCAAAUGACGUGCUUGAGUAGAACAAAAAAAUUCUAUGCAAACUUGUUGUUUGAAAGGGCUUUUGAUCAAGCUAACUGAUCCUACUGGUUGAGUGUGCAAAAUUAAAUGGGCUUUGGAGAAAGAUGGGUUAUAUGGAUGAGAUUUUGCUCACCGCAGUCAAAUACUAAAUGAUUGUGAAUGGGAAACAUACGGGAUUCUUCUCACCACAAAAGGGCACAGGGAAGGGUUAUCAAUUUUUCUCUUCAUUUUGGCUUAGGAGCGGCACAGCAUAUUUUUACGGAAUAAGCCAGAGAACAUCAGCAAUCAAAGGAUUUGAAGUUGGAUUCAACUUCACUGUGGAGGUGUCAUAUAACUUUAUGCUGAUGAUGCUCUCAUCUUUGUGGUGAUGAGAGAUCACAUAUUUUAUAUUUCAACCUCACCCUGUCUCUAUUAAAGCUCUCUCUGAAUUACAGAUUAAUAUGCUCAAAUGCACAUGAUGUCAUGUCACUGAUGUUCCCAAAUUGGUGGAACUGGUAGGAAAUAUUUGUUGCAGCGCUGGUCAUUUACCAACAACUUACACGGGGAUGCCGUUAGGGACCAAACUCAAAUAUGUAGAGACAUAAAAUGGAGUCAUUGACAAGGUUGAGAAAAAAAUGGCUACUUGACAACUGCAAUACUUACCAAUGGGAGGAAGACUCACUGAGAUCAACUGUGAAUUAGAUAGUAUCCGUACACAUCUGAUGUCACUCGUUCCAAAACCAAAAAUGGUGGUGCAACAAUUAGACAAAAUCAAGAGACCAUUCUUUUGGGAAGGCAACAGUAAGGGGCACAAAUUCAACGUAAUAAAUACGUAACUUCCACGAUGCCAAAACAGGUAGGAGGCUUGGGAAUCAAAGAUCUUACAACUCACAACAAAUGCGUAUUAAUGAAGUGGCUAUGGAGAUACGAACAAAGUGACGAUGCUCUUCAGAAGCAAGUGGUCAGAGAAAAACAUGGCUCACAAAAAAAGUGGUGUACUAAAUUAUCUAGGCCCCUCGUGGUUUUGGAUUAUGGAAGUACAUCAAGAAAUUAUGGGGAGAUUUCUCUUAGAAUAUCACAUACAAGGUGGGUUUGGGAAAAUCAUAUCAAAAUUUGUAAAGAGCCAUGGCUCCAUAGAUCACAUCUGAUGCUAGAUUUUCCAAAUUUACUUCAAACUACCCCAAAUGUUGAUUCCUUCAUUGCACAGAUGAAAUCUAGAAUCGGAUCUACAGUUUAGAAGGAACUUUCAAGACUGGGAACUAAAUAAACUCUUGAUUUUGUCACAAAGACUGCAGUCCUUCACUUUCCGUAACCACACAAAAGAUGGUAUAAGUUGGGGCAACACAAAAAAAGGGGUAUUCACAGUGAAGGCAGGCAACAUAUAUUCACUAACUCAGAUUGGGAAUGCUGGGCAAUGGCCCCGGAGACAAGGUUUGUAAGGGUAAAUAUAAAACUAGUACUAAACUAAAAUGCUCCUGUUAUGGAUGUGUGGAAGUCGAUUAAUUAAGUAUUUAAUAAUUAUUUUAAGUAUCUUUAUUUAUUAUUCUAGAAUAGGAUUUUACGUUUCCUACUUUCAUGAGGAUUAGACUCUCUAGAAUAGGGUUUUAUGUUUCCUACUUUCAUAAGGAUUAGACUAUUGUUGUAAUAUGAAUCCUAUUAGAAGGGGAUUUUGAACAACAAACCGAUAAGUCGUAUUUUAGCAAAAAGCAAGAGACUGGAGUUCUCUCUUCCAUUGAACUCUAAGGUUUCAGCCUCCCUUUAACGUGCUGAAUUUAUAUAUCGCCUCGUGAAUCGACCCUUCCCCAAAGAUCCUAACAGCUCCCCUGGGCAGCAAGCCUGCCAAAGGAUAACGUUAGCAGGAGGAAUAUACAGAUGGUGAUACAUGUUACAUGACCCAUCAAUCUGGAGAUCAACAAACACCUCUUCGUACACUGCCUGUAGUUGCAGAAAUUUGGAACAUUUUCCUCUAUUUUGGGACUUUAUCGGGUUAUGUGACAUACAAUAGGAUGCCUAUGUGAGCCGGAGCUUUUGAAAAGUUGAUGAAAAAAAAAAAGGCAAUCUGGUCAAUGAUAUAAACCAGUAUAUUUUGGUGUAUAUGGACAAAAAGGAAUCGACGAUGUUUUGAUGGUGUAUCACUUCCAUGCACUCUGAAAAAGCUAGGUGUAUUUUAAACUUAUUCAGUUGGAACAAUUCUAUGCUGGUUGGCUCCCAAGAGCGCCUCUUAGAUUUUUCAAGCUCCCUAUCCUUUUAGUCUAAUCUCUGUGUAUGGAGCAGUCUUAAUUUCCUAGUUAUAUAUACUUUUGAUUUCUGCAUCCACCGGAUGUCAUCAAUAAAAAAAAAUUAACACGAAACAGAAAUACCCUUAAUGAAAUUUUCUUACUUCAUCUAUCACAACAACAAUAUACCCAGUGUAGUCUAGUCUGGGGAAGGUAGAUUAUACGCAAACCUUACCCCUACCUUAGAGGUAGAGAGGUUGUUUCCGAUCGACCCUCGGCUCAAGAAAAAAUAAUCCAAAGCAGUCUUGAACAAGAAGUAAUGGAAGUACAAGAAAAAACAGAUAAUAACAAAACAAAACUCACAGGAGAUUUAAUACAAUUGACAGGUUGAUGGUAAGUGGGGAGAAGAUACAUGAGCCAAGAGACAUCAAAGAGGCCAUGAUAGAUUUCUACUCCAUUUUAUACUCGAAGCCUGAACCUUGGAGACCAGAUUUUCAUUUGGGAGACUGUCCAACGAUAAAUAUGGAAGAAAAUGAAUGAGACUGUUCACAGAAACAGAGGUACUACAGAUCUUAAAGCACUGCGAUGGAGAUAAAGCACCUGGUGCUGAUGGUUUUACAAUGUGUUUCUUUAAGUCUUGUUGGGAUACACUGAAAGAAGAUUUGAUGCAAACCAUUCAGAACUUCCACCAAAGAUUUGAUGCAAACCAUUCAGAACUUCCACCAAAGGAGUGUAUUUGAUAAAUCCUUUAAUGUCAGUUUCAUAGCUUUCAUCCCAAAGAAGCUUGGAGCGGUGGAGUUAAACGACUUCAGACCAAUCAGUUUUAGGUGGGGUCUACAAAAUCAUCUCUAAGCUGUUAACUGAAAGGCUAAAGAAAGUGAUAGGAAAGCUGUGGAUGAGCAUCAGAUGGCUUUUUUGAAAGGUAGGAAAAUAAUGGACACAACACUAUUGGCCAACGAGCUGGUAGACUCCCGGUUGAAACAGAAGAAACCAGGAAUUUUGUGCAAGCAAGAUAUUGAGAAAGCCUAUGAGCAUGUCAAUUGGAAUUUCCUUCUUAAAAUUCUAUAAGACAUGGGCUUUGGUGGUACAUGGAUCUGCUGGAUCAGGUUUUGCAUUUCAAAUGUGAAAUUUUCCCUCAAUAUUAAUGAUAAGACUGAAGGUUUUUUCCAAUCAUAUAGAGGUCUUAGGCAAGGAGAUCCUAUGUCUCUCUUUUUGUUCCUAAUUGCUAUGGAAGGUCUCAAUCAUAUGUUCAAGAAAGCAAAAGCAAAAGCAAAUGUCUGGAUAAAAGGUUUUAGUCCCCGAACUGGAAGGGGAGAAAAUCUAGAAAUUGCACAUCUUUUUUUAUGUGGAUGAUGCUCUUGUUUUCUGCGAGGUAGAGGUGCUACAGAUCAGACAUUUAAGGGCAAUCCUAACAACUUUUUAAGGAAUCUCAGGACUCCACAUCAACUAGUUGAAAAGUCAGCUUUUUCAUAUCAACCAGCCCGAUAACUUACACUGUCUGGCUGAGAAUUUGGGAUGUUAGGUUGGUUCUUUACCAACAAAGUAUCUACGAAUGCCAUUAGGUGGAAAAACACAAAGAGCUGGAGGUGUGGAAUGAGGUGGCAGAGAAAUGUGAAAAGAAAUUGUCAAAGUGGAAGAGUCGGUGCUUAUCCCUGGGUGGUAGGUUGACCUUAGCCAAACCAGUGCUUGAUGGUCUCCCAACCUACAUGAUGAGCCUAUUCCCUAUUCCCUAUUCCCUAUUCCCAAAAGCAUUGAAAAGAAGAUCAAUAGACUGAGAAGAUCCUUCAUUUGGCAAAGAAAUAAGGAAAAAAAAGGCUACAAUUUGGUGAAAUGGGAUACCCUUACUCUUAGCAGAAAUCAGGGAGGCCUUGGUUUGAAGAACCUUGGCAAUCAAAAUAGUAGCCUUCUACAGAAAUGGUUAUGGAGAUUUAGCAUAGAGGAUGGGGCGUUGUGGAGAAGAUAUAUAGCAGGAAAAUAUGGUCUUCUUAACCAGUGGACAACUGAGGAGGUUGUUGGUACUUUUGGGUGUAGUAUGUGGAAGACAGUAAGAAGGCUCUGGCCACAAUUCAACAACAAUAUCUCUAUCAGGGUGAGCAAUGGAUUGAAAACUGAUUUCUCGAAUGAUAAUUGGUUAGGGGAAGAUAGCUUGAGAAAUGUUUUCCCACAUUUUUUUUUCUUGAUAACCGUGGUGUCCGGCCCAACUUGCGCGCACCUCGACUAAUUCCACAAGAUACCUGCCAGCUUCCACCAGCAAUUGAUAUCAGGUAACUAUGUCCACCAAGGCUAGAAUAGAUGGGAAGAAAUCACCUAAUGUUUGUCUCUAUUGGGAAUUGAACCUGAGACCUCAUGGUGCUCAACCCAACUUCAUUGAACCACUAGGUCGCACCUUUGGGUGCACUUUGAGCUUGCAAAGUAGUUCUACUGUCUCACAGUUAUUGAGUCUACAAGGAUGGAAUCUAAUGUCCAGGAGAGCACUUAAUGAUUGGGAAAUCGGAGAAGUAGCAAACCUAAUAAAACCCCUGAAUGCAUUCCAGGAUAUGUCUAUGAGGUCGGAUAUGCUAAACUGGAAACUCCACAUUGAAGGCAUGUUCACAGUAAAGUCUUGCUAAUGGGAACUAAACUUUAAUCACACAGUGACUGACACAUGGCCCUGGAAAACAAUUUGGAAGACCAAAAGUCCUCCAAAGUUUCAUGCUUCAUUUGACUAGAGUGUUGGAAAGCUUGCCUCACCCAUGAGGCACUACAAAAAAGAGGAUGGGAAAUAUGUGCUAGAUGCUUCAUGUGUGAGCAGGAAGUAGAAGAGAACAAUCAUCUAUUCCUACAUUGUAGCGCAGCCACAAGUUUGUGGAACAUGUUUUUAUGCGUUCUUGGAAUUAACUGGGUGAUGCCUAAGGCAUCUUUGGAACUUCUAGAAAGCUGCACAGGAAUAGGAAACAGAGGGAGAACAGCAGAUUGGUGGAAGACUAUACCAGUAUGUGUUUGGUGGACCUUGUGGAGAGAAAGAAAUGAUAGGUGCUUUGAAGGGCAAGGAAUCAGCAUUCAAAGGAUCAAGAUAAAAUGUAUUAGCUUUUUAUUUUUCGGUGCAAACAAGAUUUGGCAGGGGAGACAGUGGAAUUAGUUGAUUUCAUAGGAAACUUGUAGAAGUACCCUUAUGGGGUGUGUCCACCACUCUGUGGGGUGUUAGUUUCCAAUUCAUCAUUUUUUGGAUGAUGAAUAUUUUGUGUAAAUUCAAAGUUACCUUAACUCAAAAAAAAAGUAACAACAUUGGAUAGUACCAGAAAAACACUACAACAAAACAACACGACAAUCACGGUACAAGGAACAACAUCGAAUAGUAAUAGAAAUUAAAGGAUAAGAAACUAUAAGAGCAACACUACAACUACUCCUAUGAACGGACAAUAAGACAACGACCUGCUUCCUAUUAACCUUCUACUCUAAUCCGUAGCAACAACCAACAAGUAGCCUAGUCCCGGGAUGUCUUUGGUACGACGGAAAACAUCUUUUCAAAAAAUGUUUUCUUAUUUCCCAUGUUUGGCUGGAAAAAGUUUCUGAAAAACAUUUUCUAUAGGAAAACAAGUUUCUUCGAAAUGAGAAAAAUAACUUCUUUAACUCAAGUAGGGAAAACAAGUUCUAUAAGUGACAUUCUAUGUUUGUUGUAUCCUCCCACCCAACGCUCCCAACCCAUACCCCUUAACCAUCCUACCCUCUCCACCCUCGAGAUUACGGAUGUGCAGAUUGAGUUAUUGAUUAAUGCUUCGGGUUAUGGUUCAAAAGUUUCAUUACCGAUUUAUCAUCCCAAAUUAUUGAGUUAUUGGUUUGGUUCUCGAGUUGACCAAUUUUUUAACGGGUGAACCGAUAGCCCGAUAGUAAUUUUUUAAAUUAUGAUUUUACCUUCAAUAUGUAAAGUAUCCUAGCAAGAAGAUGAAUCGAGUGUCGAUAAAAAGUAAGGGGAAUAUCAUUCAAAUCUAAAUUAAAUUUGGUUGCUUUAGUUGGGCUAGUUCUAUCUGCUCUUUUUCUUUGUACCCAAUUUUUUCUAGCUAAACAUGCUUAUGACUUAUGAAAUUUUGUGUGUGAGAUCUUAAUGAUAACCCGAUAAUCGAACCGAUAAUGCUCAAUAACCGAUUAAUAGAUAUCUUAACAGUUCUUUAAUGAUUUAGCAUGUCUACAAACCGAUAACCAAUAAGUAGAAUCAAUAAUUUUCAAAACCAAACGGAACCGUCCAAUACACAACCCUACUCGAGACCCUUCAGCUCACCCCCUCCCAUCUCUAUAGUUUUUACUAGAGUACACAUAAAUGCUCUUGAAAUAACAUCUUUUCGCUUACCUACCAAACACUAAAAAAUAAGGAAGAAACCACCUUUUUUCCAAAAAAAAAUUAUCCAUGAAAAAUAUUUCCUUCAUACUAAAUACACAUUUGAUUUCUUAUUUGUUGGUGGAAAAAAUCAUUAUUGAGUAUUGACUAGUAACAAUAGGAUAUAGGAAUAUAACAACACUAUACCCAACCUUACCUCUACCUACUGCUCUGUUUCCUGAAUUAUCUCGUCUCGAGUACAACAAUUAAAAGUAGGUAUAGAAAAUAAAACGACAGUAAGGAAAACAUAACAACUAUUUAAAGUAACAAUAGAGCAACAAUAGCGCAAGUCGGUGCACUAAAUCUCCCACUAUGCACGGGUCUGGCGAAAGACCGGACCACAAGGAUCUAUUAUACAGAGUCAUAUUGCAUUUCUGCAAAAGGACAUUUUCACAGCUUAAACUCAUGAUCUCCUAGUCACAUGACAACAACUUUACUAGUUACUCCAAGGUUCCCCGUCUAAAAGAACACUAACAACAAUAAAAUAUUGCAACAAUCAGAACACACUAAUUACAGCUACUUACCAGACGUCCAUAAAUAGCAAUUGGAAAGUCACACCUAACAAAACAAUGUACUCGGUCACCAACUGGCACCGAGACGAAACCACAAGGGUCUACUGUACACCAAAGCUCCCACUAUGCAUGAGUCACGAGUCAGGAGAAGGGCCGGACCUCAGGAGUCUAUUGUACACAAUAGUACCUUGCAGCAUUUAUGCAAGAGGCAGUUUCCACGGCUCAACCCAUAACCUCUUUCUCACAUGGCAGCAACUUUACCAAUUACUCCAAAGCUCUCCUUCUAAAUGAACAUUAACAACAACAAAAUACUGUAACUAUCAAAACACAAAAAAUACGUCUACUCACCAGACGUCCAUAAAUAGCAAUUGGAAAGUCACACCGAACACAAAAAUGUACUCGGUCCCCAAGCUGCCUCCUCGACCUACGGCCAACAGUUUUAACCAGAGAUGCAGCAGCAGCAGCAGCAUUUACUGUACCAAGGCUUUUGGCUACAGGAAGAUCAGCCAAAACAAGAUGAUCAGGACAAGCAACUGUAACAUUAUCAGGUGGCAAAGACUUAGCACCUCCACCGCUCUCACUCGCUGGUUUGCUUAGCCGGAUCUGAAGCAUCUUUGCCCAAAAAUGGAAUUCAAGGGCCGCUUGCUCUAGGGUUAAAAGGUGGGCAUCCAAAUAGUUAAACGCCCCAAAUUAUCUCUCCCCCCCAUCUCAAUAAAGAGGGAAGUGACUCCUAUCUAUUUAACUAGAUUGUGUGUUUCAUCAAGUGAAAUAUAUAAAAGAAUAAAUAAUUAAAAAAUAACAAUUGAGUUUAAAUAAAUAUAAUAUUUUUCCUUAAAAGAAUAUACAAAAUGAGUACACGUGUUACUUGAAUAUUAGUAAUAGCAUUUUAUGAGUUUUACAUUUAUUGACGUUUUCCUUUCUUUAAUCAUGUUGUACUAUGCGUGGGACGAGCAUAUGGUUGUUAAGUUCUUGUUCAGCAAAUAGGAUCAAAUUAGAGAGAAACAUGAGAAAUUAUUAAAAUCAUAAUUCAUUGUUAAUGUUGAUUAUGCAUAAUUCAUAUAUAAACUUUAAAAUUAUUAACUAAAAGAAAUAAAGAAAAAUAGAAGAAUAAUAAUAAGGAUUGUAAGAAGACGAGUUAAAUCAAAAUAAGAGGAAAACGUAGAAGAAAACCUACCAUAGCGUAUAUGAAGAAAUAAUUUUACCUUUUUGGUAAUUUAAUUUCUCCUUUAACUUGGUUAUAUGCUUUUAUAAUUUUAAAAAGAUUUAUUCACAUAAGCUAGAACAUAUAUACAACCGUAGACCGAAAAAAGGUUAGCAAGCUACUUAUUAACUAAAAGACAUCAAUAUUAAUUUAGGAAAGAAAACCCUAUAAAUAUUUUCCUUUUUUCUAUUCUCAUAGAUUUUGGGACUCCUUUUUCACAUACACAAAAAAAAAAAAAAAAAUAUUUUUCUUUUUUCUACAACAACAACAACAACAUACCCAAUGUAUUUCCAUCUAGUGGAGUUUGGGGAGGGUAGAGUGUACGCAGUCCAUACCAC